GCCUUUAGGUUCGGAAUAACUCAGGGAAACUUGUGCUAAUACCGAAUGUGCCCUUCGGGGGAAAGAUUUAUCGCCUUUAGAGCGGCCCGCGUCUGAUUAGCUAGUUGGUGAGGUAAAGGCUCACCAAGGCGACGAUCAGUAGCUGGUCUGAGAGGAUGAUCAGCCACAUUGGGACUGAGACACGGCCCAAACUCCUACGGGAGGCAGCAGUGGGGAAUCUUGCGCAAUGGGCGAAAGCCUGACGCAGCCAUGCCGCGUGAAUGAUGAAGGUCUUAGGAUUGUAAAAUUCUUUCACCGGGGACGAUAAUGACGGUACCCGGAGAAGAAGCCCCGGCUAACUUCGUGCCAGCAGCCGCGGUAAUACGAAGGGGGCUAGCGUUGCUCGGAAUUACUGGGCGUAAAGGGAGCGUAGGCGGACAUUUAAGUCAGGGGUGAAAUCCCGGGGCCCAACCUCGGAAUUGCCUUUGAUACUGGGUGUCUUGAGUAUGAGAGAGGUGUGUGGAACUCCGAGUGUAGAGGUGAAAUUCGUAGAUAUUCGGAAGAACACCAGUGGCGAAGGCGACACACUGGCUCAUUACUGACGCU
rnacentral:rRNA from 1 species